rnacentral:rRNA from 1 species
GACGAACGCUGGCGGCGUGCCUAAUACAUGCAAGUUGAGCGCUGAAGGUUGGUACUUGUGCCCACUGGAUGAGCAGCGGACGGGUGAGUAACGCGUGGGGAAUCUGCCUUUGAGCGGGGGACAACAUUUGGAAACGAAUGCUAAUACCGCAUAAAAACUUUAAACACAAGUUUUAAGUUUGAAAGAUGCAAUUGCAUCACUCAAAGAUGAUCCCGCGUUGUAUUAGCUAGUUGGUGAGGUAAAGGCUCACCAAGGCGAUGAUACAUAGCCGACCUGAGAGGGUGAUCGGCCACAGUGGGAUGGGAACACGGCCCAAACUCCUACGGGAGGCAGCCGUAGGGGAUUUUCGGCAAAGGACGAAAGGCUGACCGAGCAACGCCGCGUGAGUGAAGGAGGUUUUCGGGUCGUAAAACUCUGUUGGUAGAGAAGAACGUUGGGGAGAGUGGAAAGCUCAUCAAGUGACGGUAACUACACAGAAAGCGACGGCUAACUACGUG